rnacentral:misc_RNA from 1 species
CAGAGUUGCAAAACUCCCAACCCUUUGUGAACGUACUGAAAAGUUGCUUCGGCGGGAGGCUCCUCAGGGAGCGGACCGCCGGAGAAUCCAAACUCUUGUUUUUUUGGCAUCUCUGAGUAGCUUAUAAAUAAGUUA